rnacentral:lncRNA from 1 species
CUGGGCCCAACUGUGCCAUCCUGAACUUCUUUGACAAAUGUACACAUUUUUCUGUCUCCAAAGCAAUGUACUCUGCCAAGUGACCCUCUAAUCCUCUUCCAGUGGCUGUUGACUCAGCCACCCAUGAUUGUACCGUGUUCCUGUUGUCCUGUGUAUUUCUGGUUGCGCUUGUGUUAUUUUGAGUGUUGGAGUUUCUCCUUCCCUGAUUUUACCGACUUGUAAUGUACCCUGUUUUCUUUUGUUCUAUGGAACCUUAAAAGUAACCACUGUGGGUGAUUGAAAGAUAGGUGAAGUGUAAGGGAGAGGGGGCUCGUCCAGCUGUGGCAACAUCUGUGGUCAUGCCCGUCUACCCUACCGCCAACCCCUAUCGGGCACGCCCCUCUGGCGAGCCUUCAGUAUUUUGGGUUGGCAGACAAAUGACACCAUUCUGGAAAUGGCCUGAGAAUGGCCUUUUUAAUCAUUCCCAGAUCAAAUUCUAGACCAAAGACACAGCGGGCCAAGUCCCCAGGCACUGCCUGGAUGGAAGGCCAGCCACCUCCACAGCCCACUCCCUGACAGUGUCCCCUCACCUGUCUUCAAUACUCACCACUCCCACCCAGUCCCUGGCCCUGAUAACUCUUGUCGUGACACUUGUCUUUUCAUGUCUGCAUGUAAGUAACAUUUUGAAGUAGAGCUCGUGACUCUGGUCCACCUGCCUCUUGGAGAGAGGGCUAAGCUGUUGGCCAACCAGCCCUUGCCUGGAACAGGCCAGAUCCUGCCCUGCCUGUCAGAAGUAGACAGGAAGCCAGGAACAUUGCCAGGUUUAGAUGAGGACCUUCAGUGGGCCCAGGAGAACUCUCCUGGGAGAUGUUAUUUGGUCCUAGGAGUUCUGUUAUCUCCCUAGUGGAGGAUCCCUACUGGGCACUGUGGACUGUCCCAGAGGGCCCGAUCCAAGGCACUUUGUAAACAGGAGAAUAGGCCUAGCGUGGGACUUAAACCGUGAGCUAAGUGGAACUGGACAUUUGAGUUCUUUGUAGCUCCAGGCUCUCAAGACAUGGUAGACGGAAGGCAGGGCCAGGGCAUUGUCUAAGUAAACUGUCAAGCCUUCUCUGUCAACCAAAGGCCAGAGCUGAUGAAAGCCCCUGUCCCGUAUUCAUGGAGCAGAGAGCAAUACCCACUUGUGCCCGUCCUUACUGUCCUGCUCACCCCAGCCCCAUGCUACCCUUCCUUCCUUCCUUCCUUCCUUCCUUCCUUCCUUCCUUCCUUCCUUCCUUCCUCCGAAGCCUUCGGGAACUAGGAAUUGAUACACCCUCCCCUCAAAUUGUACCACAGGAAACUGAGGGCCAAAGACACUGCUAAUGUGAAGAGCCUUAGCCAGGGUGUAUGGGCAGGCCUUUGACCUCCAUGUAGCCCAAGGCUAUGCAGGAAGUAGCCUGAGAGGAAAGCUGUGCAGACCAUGGCAAAGCAUGAGGAGAAAGCAGCAUGUGCCCCCUCCGCACAGGAAGGGGCUUUCUCUAUCACAGGGUGUCACUACCAUGGCCGACAGCAUUCCAGCCCCGCCCCUCUGGACGGGGCAAUGCUCUAGCAAGCAGUCGAACAGGUGCCAGCCCAGUUUCUCUCUCCAAGAUGCAGACGUAAGCCAGGAAGGCACCUUAGAGAAGGCCCCUCACAGUCCCACUGGAACCUGAUACCCCUGUCCCUAUGGACACUGUAAAUACCUCUGUGUGCACACCCCUCCUUCAUCAAGUCCCAAACCACACACACAACAAAGCCCAGAUACUCCAAGAUGGAGAGGGCCGUCCCAGAAGCCAGAGCAGUGCUCCCUACCCUCCUCCUCCAUGCUGAUCUCCCAAGAGUCAGGCCUUCACAGGAAACUGGCUGUCUGUGUUCUCUGGGAGGAGGAGGAAGAGGAGGAAGAAGAGGAGGAAGAGGAGGAGGAGGAGGAGGUAGAAGAGGAGGAGGAGGAGGAAGAAGAGGAGGAGGAGGAGGAGGGGUGGUGGUGGUGUCAUUGCAGGCAUGUUCUGGCAUGUUCCCCGAAGGACAGAGCAUCUUGUUAGAUAUUUGGCUUCAAAAUGAGAUGGUAGUUACAUUUCUUUUAAACCAAUUUUUCCAAUCCCUAACAACUGUGACUGUAUUUAGCACAAGAGAAAAGCUGAGAACGUGGGUUUUGCCUCCUUCAGAAAUAUGUCUGGCUCAUCAGGACAUUUUUUAAAAACUUCAAAAUAUUUUUAAAAUAUUUUAAACUUUUGUAAAAAACAAAAAACAAAAAAACAAAUGCACACGCACACACACACACACAAAAACCUGAAACCAACCAAGAAGGGGAGGAGCGUUUGUGUUUGAAGGAUCCUUGGUGUGUGACCUGUCUUGCAGUAUACAAGCUCUGUGUAUGUUUAAUUACGGCGACCCCGCAUUUUGCAGGGUUUCGGUUUUUUUUUUUCUCUUUUGCUUUUUAGAUGAAUAUGUAUAUUGAUAUUUUAAAUCCAUCUUUGCUUUUUUUAGAGGAGUUUAUAAUCACCUUGUAACACAACAAUAAACAUUUCCUUUUUAAAAUUCACGAA